rnacentral:tRNA from 1 species
AAAAAGAUAAGCUAACCAAGCUAAUAGGCUCAUACCCUUCUCAUGGAAGUAUAAAUCUUCCUCUUUUUA